GAGUUUGAUCCUGGCUCAGGAUAAACGCUGGCGGCGCACAUAAGACAUGCAAGUCGAACGAACUUAACUCAUUCUUUUAGAUUGAGAGCGGUUAGUGGCGGACUGGGGAGUAACACGUAAGCAACCUGCCUAUCAGAGGGGAAUAACAGUGAGAAAUCAUUGCUAAUACCGCAUAAGCUAGUAGUAUCACAUGAUACAGCUAGAAAAGGAGUAAUCCGCUGAUAGAUGGGCUUGCGCCUGAUUAGCUAGUUGGUGGGGUAACGGCCUACCAAGGCGACGAUCAGUAGCCGAACUGAGAGGUUGAACGGCCACAUUGGGACUGAGAUACGGCCCAGACUCCUACGGGAGGCAGCAGUCGGGAAUAUUGCGCAAUGGAGGAAACUCUGACGCAGUGACGCCGCGUAUAGGAAGAAGGUUUUCGGAUUGUAAACUAUUGUCGUGAGGGAAGAAGAUGACAGUACCUCAGGAGGAAGCUCCGGCUAACUAUGUGCCAGCAGCCGCGGUAAUACAUAGGGAGCAAGCGUUAUCCGGAAUUAUUGGGUGUAAAGGGUGCGUAGACGGGAAAUUAAGUUAGUUGUGAAAUCCCUUGGCUUAACUGAGGAACUGCAACUAAAACUGAUUUUCUUGAGUACUGGAGAGGAAAGUGGAAUUCCUAGUGUAGCGGUGAAAUGCGUAGAUAUUAGGAGGAACACCAGUGGCGAAGGCGACUUUCUGGACAGUAACUGACGUUGAGG
rnacentral:rRNA from 1 species